rnacentral:rRNA from 1 species
CGCAGCCGCGGUAAUUCCAGCUCCAAUAGCGUAUAUUAAAGUUGUUGCAGUUAAAAAGCUCGUAGUUGAAUUUCGGGGUUAGUAGAUUGGUCAUGCCUCUGGUAUGCACUGGUCUUACUGAUUCCUCCUUCCUGAUGAACCGUAAUGCCAUUAAUUUGGUGUUGCGGGGAAACUGGACUGUUACUUUGAAAAAAUUAGGGUGUUUAAAGCAGGCUAACGCUUGAAUACAUUAGCAUGGAAUAAUGAAAUAGGACGUUCGAUCUUAUUUUGUUGGUUUCUAGGAUUGACGUAAUGAUUAAUAGGGAUAGUUGGGGGCAUUAGUAUUCAAUUGUCAGAGGUGAAAUUCUUGGAUUUAUUGAAGACUAACUACUGCGAAAGCAUUUGCCAAGGAUGUUUUCAUUAAUCAAGAACGAAGUUAGGGAUCGAAGACGAUCAGAUACCGUCGUAGUCUCAACCAUAAACCUNUGCCGACUAGGGAUCGGAUGAUGUUAAUUUUUANGACUCAUUCGGCGCCUUACGG